rnacentral:rRNA from 1 species
GACGAACGCUGGCGGCGUGCCUAAUACAUGCAAGUCGAACGGUUUAGUUCCAAGAGGCUUGCCUUUUGGAACUAGACAGUGGCGGACGGGUGAGUAACACGUAGGCCACCUACCUGUCAAACCGGGAUAACCUCGGGAAACCGAAGCUAAACCCGGUUAAGCUCCUUUUUCGCAUGAAGGGGGAGUGACCAGGUGCGACCUGAUGACAGAUGGGCCUGCGGGGCAUUAGCUUGUUGGUAGGGUAACGGCCUACCUAGUAGUGGAUGCGUAACCGUCCGCAGGGGGCGCACGGCCAGAGGGGGACCGAGAAAAGGCCGAGUCAGAUACGGCAGGGAGCCGUAGGGAAGCUAGGGGUAGGGGCGAAAGCAUGACCGAGCGAAGCCGGGUGAAGGAGGAAGGCGUGCGGGGUGUAAAACUCUGGUGUUUGGGAAGAAGGGGAAGGGUAGGAACCGUUGGUGACGGUACCAAACGAGAAAGCCCCGGCUAACUACGUG